GGGGCGGGUGCUGGACCCGGAGGGGCCUUCCGGCAACUUUUUGGUUGGUGCCGCCCCGCCCAGGCCCCUUUUAAACUUGAUCUCCGCAGUGCCCUCCCUUUUCGGCCGCGGCGCGUGACUGGGCUUGGUGGAGUUUCAAGAUGCUGAUGAACUUAAGGUCUGGCGCUUGAAAGAAUCAGUGAAGCUUUUCAAGUAGAGGAGUGGUGUUUCCAGUGAAAUCUAUGGCAAGAUGGUUUGGGGUCACUAUCUACAUGAACUGCCAAGUUGGAAAAUCAAAAAUACAUCAAAAUCACUCUUGGGACAUAAGUCACGGAAGUGACUCAUGCACACAAUAAAUACCCAAGAAGCAGGACCAGACGGCAGUUGUGUAUUGGCACGCUCAUCAGUGCUGCAAAAAUUCCCCUUCUGGAUGGCAACAACAAUGCUGUAUCCACAGCAGCAUUUUAAAUCUCACCUCUGAUUACUCUACUUUGAAGAAAGGAAUGGAACAGAAGGUGUCUGCAUAACUAAAUGGGGAUCUAGAGAAAGUGGAGACUGCCUCUGGAGCAGGGAGGAGGUGCCCUACUGUGUAUUGCUGGGGUCGUAUAGCCAAUUGGCGAACUAGCUGAUAAACCCUGGACAGAAAUAGAAACUACAAGAAGUGAAACAAAGUUCCAUCCAAGAAUGAAACAACAACUGAUCACGUGAGAUGCCCAUGUCAUCACUUGACCCACAGACAGGGGAGCAAAUAUAUUGAUGAUCUGGUCCUCCUGCCGGACUGUUGGUAUUCAUCCCUGUAAGUGAGAGGAAGGAAACAUUGCAACUUAAUGGGUGAGUCCUUCCUUCUGGUGAAUUUAACAUCAUGCAUUUGCUAGAUUUGCUAGCCAUGCAGUUAUGGUGAAAACAGGAAAGAUCCCUUUGGGUUUAACUAUAGAUUAGCCAUAGGAUUUGCAACCAGGAAAAGACCUUCAAGAUCAAUUCUAUUGGAACAUGGACAAUUAACAUAAAUAAACUGAGAAACAGACA
ensembl:lncRNA SNHG26 small nucleolar RNA host gene 26